CUGCCAUAUCACAUCUAAACACCACUUCUCAUACGAUCAUAGAAGUUAAGCAAUGUUGAGCCUGGUCAGCACUUACAUGGACCACUGCUUGGAAAUAUCAGGUGCUGUAAG